AUUGAACGCUGGCGGCAGGCCUAACACAUGCAAGUCGAGCGAGCGGCGGACGGGUGAGUAAUGUAUGGGGACUGCCCGAUAGAGGGGGAUAACUACUGGAAACGGUGGCUAAUACCGCAUACUAUCGGAUAACCCAUAUGGGAUUAGCUAGUGGGUGGGGUAAAGGCUCACCCAGGCGACGAUCUCUAGCGGGUCUGAGAGGAUGAUCAGCAAAACUGGGACUGAGACACGGCCCAGACUCCACCGGAGGAAGCAGUGGGGAAUAUUGCAAAAUGGGGGCAAGCCUGAUGCAGCAAGGCCGCGUGUAUGAAGAAGGCCUUGGGGUUGUAAAGUACUUUCAGCGGGGAGGCGUUACCCGCAGAAGAAGCACCGGCUAACUCCGUGCCAGCAGCCGCGGUAAUUC
rnacentral:rRNA from 1 species